rnacentral:rRNA from 1 species
CCUACGUGAGGCAGCAGUGAGGAAUAUUGGUCAAUGGGCGGAAGCCUGAACCAGCCAAGUAGCGUGCAGGAUGACGGCCCUACGGGUUGUAAACUGCUUUUAUACGGGAAUAACGCGCCUUACGUGUAGGGCUUUGCAUGUACCGUAUGAAUAAGGACCGGCUAAUUCCGUGCCAGCAGCCGCGGUAAUCCGGAAGGUCCGGGGGUUAUCCGGAUUUAUUGGGUUUAAAGGGAGCGUAGGCGGCGAGUUAUGUCAGCGGUAAAAUUUCGGGGCCCAACCCCGACAAGCCGUUGAAACUGGCGUGCUAGAGUGGGCGAGAAGUAUGCGGAAUGCGUGGUGUAGCGGUGAAAUGCAGAGAUAUCACGCAGAACUCCGAUUGCGAAGGCAGCAGACCGGCGCCCAACUGACGCUCAGGCACGAAAGCGUGGGUAUCGAACAGGAUUAGAUACCCUUGUAGUC